rfam:Knoellia flava TL1 contig7, whole genome shotgun sequence.
GGGGAAGCCGGUCCAAGUCCGGCGCUGACCCGCAACCGUAGGCCACCCGCGAGGGUGGCGAGCCGGACUGCCC